GACGUAGGGGGCAAGCGUUGUUCGGAAUUAUUGGGCGUAAAGCGCUCGUAGGCGGGACUGGAAGUCCGUGUUGAAAGACCUCGGCUCAACUGAGGGACCGGCUCGGAUACUCUAGUUCUUGAGGCAAUCAGAGGGUGAUGGAAUUCCCGGUGUAGCGGUGAAAUGCGUAGAGAUCGGGAGGAACACCAGUGGCGAAGGCGGCCAUCUGGAUCAACACUGACGCUGAGGCACGAAAGCGUGGGGAGCAAACAGG
rnacentral:rRNA from 1 species